rnacentral:hammerhead_ribozyme from 1 species
AUUCAGAUGACGAAUCCCUAAAAGACGAAACGCGCGUCCUGGAU